rnacentral:rRNA from 1 species
GAACUGAAGAGUUUGAUCAUGGCUCAGAUUGAACGCUGGCGGCAGGCCUAACACAUGCAAGUCGAGCGGAUGAAGGGAGCUUGCUCCUGGAUUCAGCGGCGGACGGGUGAGUAAUGCCUAGGAAUCUGCCUGGUAGUGGGGGAUAACGUCCGGAAACGGGCGCUAAUACCGCAUACGUCCUGAGGGAGAAAGUGGGGGAUCUUCGGACCUCACGCUAUCAGAUGAGCCUAGGUCGGAUUAGCUAGUUGGUGGGGUAAAGGCCUACCAAGGCGACGAUCCGUAACUGGUCUGAGAGGAUGAUCAGUCACACUGGAACUGAGACACGGUCCAGACUCCUACGGGAGGCAGCAGUGGGGAAUAUUGGACAAUGGGCGAAAGCCUGAUCCAGCCAUGCCGCGUGUGUGAAGAAGGUCUUCGGAUUGUAAAGCACUUUAAGUUGGGAGGAAGGGCAGUAAGUUAAUACCUUGCUGUUUUGACGUUACCAACAGAAUAAGCACCGGCUAACUUCGUGCCAGCAGCCGCGGUAAUACGAAGGGUGCAAGCGUUAAUCGGAAUUACUGGGCGUAAAGCGCGCGUAGGUGGUUCAGCAAGUUGGAUGUGAAAUCCCCGGGCUCAACCUGGGAACUGCAUCCAAAACUACUGAGCUAGAGUACGGUAGAGGGUGGUGGAAUUUCCUGUGUAGCGGUGAAAUGCGUAGAUAUAGGAAGGAACACCAGUGGCGAAGGCGACCACCUGGACUGAUACUGACACUGAGGUGCGAAAGCGUGGGGAGCAAACAGGAUUAGAUAC